GACGAACGCUGGCGGCGUGCCUAAUACAUGCAAGUCGAACGCAGUGGGGACGGGUGAGUAACACGUGGGUAACCUCCCAUCAGAGGGGAUAACACUUGGCAACAGGUGCUAAACCGAUACUGAUGGAUGGACCCGUGGGGGAUUAGCUAGUUGGUGAGGUAACGGCUCACCAAGGCCACGAUGCAGAGCCGACCUGAGAGGGUGAUCGGCCACACUGGGACUGAGACACGGCCCAGACUCCUACGUGAGGCAGCAGUAGGGAAUCUUCGGCAAUGGGCGAAAGUCUGACCGAGCAACGCCGCGUGAGUGAAGAAGGUUUUCGGAUUGUAAAACUCUUUUGUCAGAGAAGCGGUAUCUAACCAGAAAGCCACGGCUAACUACGUGCCAGCAGCCGCGGUAAUUC
rnacentral:rRNA from 1 species